ACAUUGAUGGUUCAGUGGUAGAAUUUUUGCCUUCCAUGCAGGAGACCCGGGUUCGAUUCACAGCCAAUGCA
rnacentral:tRNA from 1 species